rnacentral:rRNA from 1 species
UGCGUAGGCGGAAUAUUAAGUCAGUGGUGAAAUCCUGCGGCUCAACCGUAGAACUGCCAUUGAUACUGAUAUUCUUGAAUGUAGUUGAGGUAAGCGGAAUGUGUAAUGUAGCGGUGAAAUGCUUAGAUAUUACACAGAACACCGAUUGCGAAGGCAGCUUACUAAACUAUGAUUGACGCUGAGGCACGAAAGCGUGGGGAGCGAACAGGAUUAGAUACCCUGGUAGUCC